GACAGAGGGUGCAAACGUUGCUCGGAAUUACUGGGCGUAAAGCGCGUGUAGGCGGUGCCGCACGUCGGGUGUGAAAGCCCAGGGCUCAACUGAGGAAGUGCAUCCGAAACUGGCAAGCUAGAGUACUAAAGAGGGUCGCGGAAUUCCCGGUGUAGAGGUGAAAUUCGUAGAUAUCGGGAGGAACACCGGUGGCGAAGGCGGCGACCUGGGUAGAUACUGACGCUGAGGUGCGAAAGCGUGGGGAGCAAACAGG
rnacentral:rRNA from 1 species